AGGCAGUGAUGAUUGAGAAUGUCAUGCACCACUCUGAUUCGUGCUGAUAACCAUCUCUACCCAUAUUAUUUCUGAGCCU
rfam:Brassica napus, WGS project CCCW01000000 data, contig: 17096